rnacentral:rRNA from 1 species
UACGUAGGGUGCAAGCGUUAAUCGGAAUUACUGGGCGUAAAGCGUGCGCAGGCGGUUAUGUAAGACAGUUGUGAAAUCCCCCGGGCUUAACCUGGGAACUGCAUUUGUGACUGGCGGGCUAGAGUAUGGCAGAGGGGGGUAGAAUUCCACGUGUAGCAGUGAAAUGCGUAGAGAUGUGGAGGAAUACCGAUGGCGAAGGCAGCCCCCUGGGCCAAUACUGACGCUCAUGCACGAAAGCGUGGGGAGCAAACAGG